rnacentral:rRNA from 1 species
GACGAACGCUGGCGGCGUGCCUAAUACAUGCAAGUAGAACGCUGACUACUUUAGCUUGCUAGAGUAGAAGGAGUUGCGAACGGGUGAGUAAACGCGUAGGUAACCUGCCUACUAGCGGGGGAUAACUAUUGGAACGGAUAGCUAAUACCGCAUAACAGUGUUAACACAUGUUAGAUGCUUGAAGGAUGCAAUUGCAUCACUAGUAGACUGGACCUGCGUUGUAUUAGCUAGUUGGUGGGGUAACGGGCCCACCAAGGCGACGAUACAUAGCCGACCUGAGAGGGUGAUCGGGCCACACUGAGACUGAGACACGGUCCAGGACUCCUACGGGAGGCAGCAGUAGGGAAUCUUCGGCAAUGGGGGCGAAACCCUGACCGAGCAACGCCGCGUGAGUGAAG